UACAAUUCGCUACCAUGAGUAACAUAUUUGACAGAUGUCACCCUGUUUAGCGUUACUAUUAUAGUUGCGUCACUCACUUGAAAAAAUCUUCCCGUAUAUUCCCC